rnacentral:rRNA from 1 species
CCAAUAGCGUAUAUUAAAGUUGCUGCAGUUAAAAAGCUCGUAGUUGAAUUUCGGGAUCAAUAUGUUGGUCGUGCCUUGGUACGUACUAGCUUAUUGAUUUCUCCCUUCUGACGAACCAUGAUGUCAUUAAUUUGGUGUCAUGGGGAAUUAGGACUGUUACUUUGAAAAAAUUAGAGUGUUUAAAGCAGGCUCACGCUUGAAUACAUUAGCAUGGAAUAAU